rnacentral:rRNA from 1 species
AUUGAACGCUGGCGGCAGGCUUAACACAUGCAAGUCGAGCGGAGAGAGGUAGCUUGCUACUGAUCUUAGCGGCGGACGGGUGAGUAAUGCGUAGGAAUCUGCCUAUUAGUGGGGGACAACAGUUCGAAAGGAAUGCUAAUACCGCAUACGUCCUACGGGAGAAAGCAGGGGAUCUUCGGACCUUGCGCUAAUAGAUGAGCCUAAGUCGGAUUAGCUAGGUGGUGGGGUAAAGGCCUACCAAGGCGACGAUCUGUAGCGGGUCUUAGAGGAUGAUCCGCCACACUGGGACUGAGACACGGCCCAGACUCCUACGGGAGGCAGCAGUGGGGACUAUUGGACCAUGGGCGGAAGCCUGAUCCAGUCAUGCCGCGUGUGUGAAGAAGGCCUUAUGGUUGUAAAGCACUUUAAGCGAGGAGGAGGCUACUUUAGUUAAUACCUAGAGAUAGUGGACGUUACUCGCAGAAUAAGCACCGGCUAACUCUGUGCCAGCCGCCGCAGUAA